UACGUAGGGGGCGAGCGUUGUCCGGAAUUAUUGGGCGUAAAGAGCGUGUAGGCGGUUCGGUAAGUCUGCCGUGAAAACCUGGGGCUCAACCCCGGGCGUGCGGUGGAUACUGCCGGGCUAGAGGGUGGUAGAGGCGAGUGGAAUUCCCGGUGUAGCGGUGAAAUGCGCAGAUAUCGGGGGGGAACACCAGUAGCGAAGGCGGCUCGCUGGGCCAUUCCUGACGCUGAGACGCGAAAGCUAGGGGAGCGAACAGG
rnacentral:rRNA from 1 species